ensembl:ncRNA Y48C3A.24 ncRNA
ACCCACCGUUUUAAAGAACACUGGAAUAAAACAAAUGAGCACCACAAGCAAAAUGAGCACCGAAAUAAGUGUGUGCUCACAUAAAUCGAAUAGCUGAUAGUAGACUCUAUAGAACGAGUUGAGCAUUAAUAUUAGGACCUCACACAUUUC